CCAUGCACCACAUUCCUGGAAGUCCAGAAUAUAGCAAGAAUGCUUUGUCGUUUGAUUCUAUGGAGCCGUUUAACAUUUUGAUUGGUAUAGUUAUACCAAAAGAGCAAGGAGUACGACGGUAGAUCACAUCUGCAACAGAACCAUUACAGAUUCCUUGUUGUAUCAAUGUCUCUGUGUUUAUGUUUACAGGAGUUCCUUGCUUUGCAGGUAUGUACAUAAUAUGUAGAGUUUUAGAAAAGCUGCAAAUCGUGCUUUAGUACAAGUGUCCCAUGAUGUCAAGUUUCUGAUAGAUUUUGUUGGUCUUUUUAUAUUGCAUUCUCUUGGCAGGGCAUCUGCUCUUAGUAGGCCGGUAUUGUUAUUAUUUAUUAAUUGCAUCAAGGUUUCUUUCGUUAAUUGAUGUGUUUCUACCAAAUUCAAAUUCAUAUGCCACCAAAUGUCAUUGUAAAGUUCAUUGUUACAGAAUAUUGUUCCAGGAUGGUUUUUCACUCCAGUAGGAAAUCUAUAUUCCUCUUCUUCUGCUCCUUCCUAUAAACCACUUUUUCUGAGUUGUAGGCAACAAUCUGUGUCUUGUACUGUGAGGUGCUUUGAUAGUCAAUCAGGUUUUCUCAGUACCAUGUUCCAUCUUGAGAAACAGCUAGGUGUUGAGGGCUAUCAGUCUUUAUUUCUUUUUCCGGUCAUCUUCUGUCUGGAAACAUAAUAGCAAUGUCCAGAAUUAGCAUAGCACUUCUUUUCAGCAUAAAGAAGGCUGUUUGCGCUCGUCAUACAAUGAUAAACUAUACGGCAAAGUCUUUUCUUAAUCACCUUCAUAGGUGCAUCCAAAGUCUUUCACAAGCAUCUAUCUCGUC